rnacentral:tRNA from 1 species
GGCAGCUCAGAGGAAAGAGCACAUGCUUCACAUCCAUGAAGGUCCAGGUUUGAUCCCUGGCACUGCCU